GGUCCCGUAGCUCAGCUGGUUAGAGCGUCGUACUAAUACUUCCUCAACGAGGAAAUAUCUGUGAUGCGAAGGUCGCGAGUUCGAUCCUCUCCGGGACCA
rnacentral:tRNA from 1 species